GCCUUCUGCCCAUGGAUUUUAUUUACAGCAUCACAUCAGCAGCCUUCCAGCAGGUCUACCACCACAAUUGUGGCUGUAUGAUACCCCUUUCCUAAAGCCAAGAGGACAGCACUCCCACAGCUCAGACGUGGUUCAGAGGAUCUCUAUGGCGUGACACUACCCAGCACCAAGUAUCCUGGCAUAUACUGGUUAACAACAUGGACUCAAGUUAAACCAUCUGAAUUCAAGUCUCAGCUUUAUGAUUUACUGGCUAUGUGACUUUGGAUGAAAGAAAGCUACAUGCUAUGUGAGAGAAGAUGGAGGCCACCCCUCAGGUCCUGGCUAGAACCUCAUAGGACCUUCAGAGGGACAAUCCUCAUUCAUCAGGGAAGUCCUGGAUGGAACUAGCUGCUUUCUUGUGACUAUUCUGAAUCCUGUGCUCAAGCCAAACUGAGUGCCUAGUGUUUCCUAUGCAUGUCUCGUGAUGAUUUGUCCCUUUGCCCUUUGACAAGCUGAAAUCCUUCCUGUUCUUGUCGGACCACAUGAAAAACACAAACUUCUCUAUAAAACUCUCUUCACCCUCCAGGACAGAAAGAACUUUUUACUUUUUAAAAAAUUCUUUAGUAAACAAUUUAUAUCUAGGUAUCUAAUAUUUUACUUGUAUCUUGAAUUACAGUUGUUUUGAAAGAGAUCUCAUUGCUCUGUCUAGCCUACAAGCCACUUGAGGGCAGAAUACUUGUUUCCAUUAUUUAGCAACUAGCUCAUAGUAGGCCCACAAUAAACACUUAAUGGGUAAAUAUAUGAACAUUAAUUAGAAGUGACUAUUAGUGUUAUCCCAAAGACAAUUGGGGUAUUUUCCUAAGAGGAUGACAAGAGUACUUUCCAAAGCAGUUGUA